rnacentral:rRNA from 1 species
UAAGGAAUAUUGGACAAUGGAGGCAACUCUGAUCCAGCCAUGCCGCGUGAAGGAAUAAGGCCCUAUGGGUUGUAAACUUCUUUUAGACGGGACAAAACCCCUUUACGUGUAAAGGGUUGAUGGUACUGUCAGAAUAAGCAUCGGCUAACUUCGUGCCAGCAGCCGCGGUAAUACGAAGGAUGCAAGCGUUAUCCGGAAUUAUUGGGUUUAAAUGGUGCGUAGGCGGACUAAUAAGUCAGUGGUGAAAGCCUGCAGCUUAACUGCAGAAUUGCCAUUGNUACUGUUAGUCUUGAGUACAGUUGAGGUAGGCGGAAUGUGUCAUGUAGCGGUGAAAUGCUUAGAUAUGACACAGAACACCGAUUGCGAAGGCAGCUUGCUAAGCUGUAACUGACGCUGAGGCACGAAAGCGUGGGGAGCAAACA